UACGGAGGGUGCGAGCGUUAAUCGGAAUAACUGGGCGUAAAGGGCACGCAGGCGGACUUUUAAGUGAGAUGUGAAAUCCCCGGGCUUAACCUGGGAAUUGCAUUUCAGACUGGGAAUCUAGAGUACUGUAGGGAGGGGUAGAAUUCCACGUGUAGCGGUGAAAUGCGUAGAGAUGUGGAGGAAUACCGAAGGCGAAGGCAGCCCCUUGGGCUAAGACUGACGUUCAGGCGCGAAAGCGUGGGUAGCAAACAGG
rnacentral:rRNA from 1 species